rnacentral:rRNA from 1 species
ACUCAAAGGAAUUGACGGGGGCUCACACAAGCGGUGGAGGAUGUGGUUUAAUUCGAAGCAACGCGAAGAACCUUACCAGGUCUUGACAUUCCGGGAUUAGUUUCGUGAAAGCGAGAUGAUUGCCCUCAAAGCGUAACCGGAACAGGUGCUGCAUGGCUGUCGUCAGCUCGUGCCGUGAGGUGUUAGGUUAAGUCCUUUAACGAGCGAAACCCCUACGUUUAGUUACCAGCGCGUCAUGGCGGGGACUCUAGACGGACUGCCGCGAAAGUAGGAGGAAGGUGGGGACGACGUCAAGUCAUCAUGGCCUUUAUGACCUGGGCUACACACGUCCUACAAUGGGCGACACAGAGGGUAGCGAAGCCGCAAGGUGAAGCCAAUCCCACAAAGUCGCCCUCAGUUCAGAUUGUGGGCUGCAAUUCGCCCACAUGAAGCCGGAAUCGCUAGUAAUCGCGGAUCAGCUACGCCGCGGUGAAUAUGUUCCUGAGCCUUGUACACACCGCCCGU